CACCGUGUUGAUCUCCUCGUGUUGUUCCAGCAGACAGCAGACAGAAACACAGAGACAGAAGCUCCAGAGAUGAGAACUGAAGUCUAACAACACCAGACAUGAUCAACUGAUGCUGACAGGCUAGCCUAACAGGAAGCUAACACUCUAGUAUAGCUCCGUGCACCUUGGUUUCG